rnacentral:lncRNA from 1 species
AGAAGAAGAAGAAGAAGAAGACGAUGACGACACUGUUAAGGACUCUGUUGGAAGUUAGUCCAGGCUAGGUUGGACUGAACUGGACUGGAAACUCUUCCAGGGUCCACCACUCUUCAAGAGGAGCUCAGAUGGGCACCUACCCUGGGAGCUGGGUACCCAGGGAUGCCCUGAGGAAACAGACCCUGGACUAACUGCUCAGGUUAAUGGAGGCCUCCCACUUGGCCUUCUCCCAUAUUGCUGUAGCUGGUAUGCUUCUGUGCAAAUCUAAUAGCAGUGCCUUUGGGACCCUGGGAGUGCAUCACGUCUGGAAAGGUGACCCUUGUUAUCUCGUUUCCUUUUCAUCUUUGUCCUAGGGUUUGCGUAGUUGCCUGUCUAAUGCCCCGUUUCAUUGCUUUAGGUGAAAACUUGUACCUUGGCCAGCUCUACUCCAUUGUCAGGCCUCCAGUUCCUUACUGGGGUUGUGGUGGUGGCGGUAGGUGGGAAGGUCCACCCUGGCUCUGGAGCCUGGCUGGGCACUGGUUGGUUCAGCCCUGAGCCAGCAUGAGGUGUGCUGUGUUCCUGGGAUCCAUUUAUUUUGCUUUUUCGGUUGGCUUCUCUCACUCUUCUGCCAUUAGCCAGAGUGAUAAGUUUCGAAACAGAGCAGGUGGUUCUUUCCUCUCACCAUGUACCCAAGCACAGUGGCGACUCUAGAACUCUGGCCACCUCAAAGCUGUACACCCUCUCAGCCUCGGAGCUGGGACUCAGGGUCCCAGAACUGUAGCUGAACCAUCUGGAAAAGCUGGAUUCUCUUGCCUUAUGUCUGAAUGCCACGGAUCCGGCUGCCAGCCACUCAUCACUGACUGGCAAGAAUGGUGGACAGUAACCUUCCAAAUCCUUGAUGAAACUUCAACACCAUAGGCACUUAAAUAAAGAUCCUUAAAGCAAACAAACAAACAAAAAU